UGUUCAGGGUUUACACAUCAGCAAUCCG
rnacentral:piRNA from 1 species